rnacentral:rRNA from 1 species
GACGAACCUUGCUAACGUUGUUCGGAAUUACUGGGCGUAAAGGGCUCGUAGGCGGCCAACUAAGUCAGACGUGAAAUCCCUCGGCUUAACCGGGGAACUGCGUCUGAUACUGGAUGGCUUGAGUUUGGGAGAGGGAUGCGGAAUUCCAGGUGUAGCGGUGAAAUGCGUAGAUAUCUGGAGGAACACCGGUGGCGAAGGCGGCAUCCUGGACCGGCAUUGACGCUGAGGAGCGAAAGCCAGGGGAGCAAACGGG